UGAGGAAUAUUGCACAAUGGGCGCAAGCCUGAUGCAGCGACGCCGCGUGGGUGACGAAGGCCUUCGGAUCGUAAAGCCCUUUUCUGCGUGACGAGACAGGACGGUAGCGCAGGAAUAAGUCUCGGCUAACUACGUGCCAGCAGCCGCGGUAAAACGUAGGAGACAAACGUUAUCCGGAGUUACUGGGCGUAAAGGGCGUGUAGGCGGUUGGUUAAGUCUGGCGUGAAAGCUCUCGGCUAAACCGGGAGAGGUCGUUGGAUACUGGCGAACUAGAGGAUGGUAGAGGCGUGUGGAAUUCCGGGUGUAGUGGUGAAAUGCGUAGAGAUCCGGAGGAACACCAGUGGCGAAGGCGACACGCUGGGCCAUACCUGACGCUAAAGCGCGACAGCAUGGGGAGCAAAC
rnacentral:rRNA from 1 species